rnacentral:rRNA from 1 species
CGAAAGCUAGGGGAGCAAACAGGAUUAGAUACCCUGGUAGUCCUAGCCCUAAACGAUGGAUACUUGGUGUGGGGGGUGUUAAAUCCCCCCGUGCCGAAGCCAACGCAUUAAGUAUCCCGCCUGGGGAGUACGGUCGCAAGGCUGAAGCUCAAAGGAAUUGACGGGGGCCCGCACAAGCGGUGGAGCAUGUGGUUCAAUUCGACGCAACGCGAAGAACCUUACCUGGGCUUGAACUGGAGUGGAAGUUGGCAGAGAUGUCAAUGUCCUUUACCGGACUGCUCUAGAGGUGCUGCAUGGCUGUCGUCAGCUCGUGUCGUGAGAUGUUGGGUUAAGUCCCGCAACGAGCGCAACCCUUGCCCUUAGUUGCUAACAGGUCAAGCUGAGAACCCUAAGGGAACUGUCGGCGAUAAGCCGGAGGAAGGUGGGGAUGACGUCAAGUCCUCAUGGCCUUUAUGUCCAGGGCUACACACGUGCUACAAUGGGCGGUACAAAGGGUUGCAAACCCGCGAGGGGGAGCCAAUCCCAGAAAACCGCUCUCAGUUCGGAUUGUAGUCUGCAACUCGACUACAUGAAGCUGGAAUCGCUAGUAAUCGCGGAUCAGCACGCCGCGGUGAAUACGUUCCCGGGCCUUGUACACACCGCCCGUCACAUCAUGAAAGCUGGUUGUACUAGAAGUCGCCGUGCUAACCGCAAGGAGGCAGGUGCCCAAGGUAUGACUGGUGAUUGGGGUGAAGUCGUAACAAGGUAACC